rnacentral:tRNA from 1 species
GACUUAAAAAAUCCGUUGGCUUUAUAGACCAUGAGGGUUCAAGUCCCUCUACCCCCA